UGGAGCUUGCUCUGGUGGAUUAGUGGCGAACGGGUGAGUAACACGUGAGUAACCUGCCCUGGACUCUGGGAUAAGCGUUGGAAACGACGUCUAAUACCGGAUAGGACCUCGGAUCGCAUGAUCUGGGGUGGAAAGUUUUUCGGUCUGGGAUGGACUCGCGGCCUAUCAGCUUGUUGGUGAGGUAAUGGCUCACCAAGGCGUCGACGGGUAGCCGGCCUGAGAGGGUGACCGGCCACACUGGGACUGAGACACGGCCCAGACUCCUACGGGAGGCAGCAGUGGGGAAUAUUGCACAAUGGGCGCAAGCCUGAUGCAGCAACGCCGCGUGCGGGAUGACGGCCUUCGGGUUGUAAACCGCUUUUAGUAAGGAAGAAGGGGCUUCGGCCUUGACGGUACUUGCAGAAAAAGGACCGGCUAACUACGUGCCAGCAGCCGCGGUAAUACGUAGGGUCCGAGCGUUGUCCGGAAUUAUUGGGCGUAAAGAGCUCGUAGGCGGUUUGUCGCGUCUGCUGUGAAAACUAGAGGCUCAACCUCUAGCCUGCAGUGGGUACGGGCAGACUUGAGUGCGGUAGGGGAGAAUGGAAUUCCUGGUGUAGCGGUGGAAUGCGCAGAUAUCAGGAGGAACACCGAUGGCGAAGGCAGUUCUCUGGGCCGUAACUGACGCUGAGGAGCGAAAGCGUGGGGAGCGAACAGGAUUAGAU
rnacentral:rRNA from 1 species